rnacentral:lncRNA from 1 species
CACGAUGGCACAAUAAUCUCUUUCUCUGUUCUGAAUGGGAGGUGAGAAUUGGGAAAUGGGGCAUUGGGGCCAGACGGAGCAAGCAGGAGAGUCACCAGACAGAGUCCCAUAAUUCCAGGAGCUGAUGAUGGGAAGUCACAGAAGCCUGGGCCAGUGCUGUCCACGUACAUAUGUUUUCCUGCCUUCUUUGAGUCUAUAUCUGGUGUAUGAGAUAUAGUGAAAACGUUUUCUGGGAGUUCCAGUAAAGCUGCAUAAAAGGCAAGAGGUGAGAAUUGCUGCUGAGAACCCGGGGAUUGAACUUGAUGGUCAACCACAGUAUAUGGCGAAUUUCCUAACAAAUUUGGGGAUGAUCCAGCUUUGGGAGAGGAGAAAAGAAAAGUAAGGAUCACCUGCUUAUAAAAUUUAAGUAGCAUAAUUUUUUUAAUAGCAAGCAAAACAACCUUGCCCUGGCUAACAAUUUUCACAGUUUCUGGUUUUUAUUGAUAUUUGGCUCCCUAUGCAAGGUAAAGCAAUCGAGUGGAUAAUAACGAGGUUCUUUUCUUUGAGAAGAUCAUGGAGAUAAGCAAGCCAAUGAGAAAAGCUCCCACUUUUGAUGUAGUGAUUCUGGAGUGGGUUGGCUAAUGAGCACACCCAACCUGGCUGGGUGGGAACAGCGAGGGAAAUGCUCUAAGAGCUGAGUGUGAGUCUUGAAGAAAAACCAGCAUAUUUGACUCGUUCCCAGCACAUGGAUGGUGCCUUGGGAAGCAAAGACUUUCUCUAGCCUUUCACUUGGUUGGAACCUGCGCAGACCCAUCUAAGAGAAAUAACUAAUCUGUAUGUGGCAGAAUAUUCAGACCCAAAGAGAAACGUGCUUGAACCGAGGGUAGAAAAAUAAUGUGACUUAUGAGUACUGAACGUAAAAUGGUGCAGCCACUUUGAUAAACAAUCUGGCAGUUCCUCCAAAGGCUACAUAUAGAGUGACCGUGGG